rnacentral:tRNA from 1 species
GGCUUCGUGGUCGAGUGGUAAGGACACUUGUUUCUCACCCUGGAGUCCUGGGUUCGAUCCCCGGUCAAGGAGCUA